rnacentral:rRNA from 1 species
GAAUUGAAGAGUUUGAUCAUGGCUCAGAUUGAACGCUGGCGGCAGGCUUAACACAGCAAGUCGAACGGUAGCACAUAGGAGUUUGCUCGCUUGGGUGACGAAGUGGCGGACGGGUGAGUAAUGCUUGGGAAUCUGGCUUAUGGAGGGGGAUAACUACUGGAAACGGUAGCUAAUACCGCGUAAUGUCUUAGGACUAAAGAGAUUGGGACCAUUUGGCCACCUGCCAUAAAGAUAGGCCCAAAUUGGAGUUAGGUAGUUGGUGAGGUAAGCUCGCAAGCCCGCGAUCUCUAGCUGGUCUGAGAGGAUGACCAGCCACACUGGGUCUGAGACACGGUCCAGACUCCUACGGGAGGCAGCAGUGGGGAAUAUUGCACAGUGGGGGAACCCUGAUGCAGCCAUGCCGCGUGAAUGAAGAGGCCUUCGGGUUGUAAGUUCUUUCGGUGACAGAGGCGAUUGUUUUUAAUAGACAGGUCGAUUGACGUUAAUCACAGAAAGAAGCACCGGCUAACUCCGUGCCAUACCGCGGUAAUACGGGGUGCGAGCGUUAAUCGGAAUAACUGGGCGUAAAGAGCACGCAGGCGGUUGUUUAAGUGAGGUGUGGCCCGGGCUUAACCUGGGAAUUGCAUUUCAGACUGGACAACUAGGUACUUUUUAGGGAGGGUAGAAUUCCACGUGUAGCGGUGAAAUGCGUAGAGAUGUGGAGGAAUACCGAAGGCGAAGGCAGCCCGCAGGGAAUGUACUGACGCUCAUGUGCGAAAGCGUGGGAGCAAACAGGAUUAGAUACCUGGCCGCCGUAAACGCUGUCGAUUUGGGGAUUGGGUUUAACUCUGGUGCCCGUAGCUAACGUGAUGAUCGACCGCCUGGGAGUACGGCCGCAAAGGUUAAAACUCAAAUGAAUUGACGGGGGCCCGCACAAGCGGUGGAGCAUGGUUUAAUUCGAUGCAACGCGAAGAACCUACUCUUGACAUCCAUGGAAUCUUGUAGAGAUGUAGGUGCCUUCGGGAACCAUGAGACAGGUGCUGCAUGGCUGUCGUCAGCUCGUGUUGUGAAAUGUUGGGUUAAGUCCCGCAACGAGCGCAACCCUUAUCCUUUGUUGUUGCCAGCGAUUAGGUCGGGAACUCAAGGAGACUGCCGGUGAUAAACCGGAGGAAGGUGGGAUGACGUCAAGUCAUCAUGGCCCUUACAGUAGGGCUACACGUGCUACAAUGGCGUAUACAGGGCGGCGAGCCAGCGAUGGGGAGCGAAUCUCAGAAAAGUACGUCUAAGUCGGAUUGGAGUCUGCAACUCGACUCCAUGAAGUCGAAUCGCUAGUAAUCGCAAAUCAGAAUGUUGCGGUGAAUACGUUCCCGGGCUUGUACACACCGCCCGUCACACCAUGGGAGUGGGUUGUACCAGAAGUAGAUAGCUUAACCGAAAGGGGGCGUUUACCACGGUAUGAUUCAUGACUGGGGUGAAGUCGUAACAAGGUAACCGUAGGGGAACUGCGGUUGGAUCACCUCCUUA